UAAAUAUAUGUCAUUUCAAAACCACAUUUCUGAAAAAAGUGUAGUUUUUAAUAUUUGUAUAAUUUUGUAAGUCUUUUACAUGAAUAUACCAUACGGGAAAAAUUGUUAACGAUUCAAAGAGCCUUUGUUAUAAAUAUUUUACUUUAAAAUAUUAUUAUUCAGCGGCAGCUUAGUAUGGAUUCUGUAAGUGUUAACAUUUUAAAUUUGUAUAGUUGAAUAUUGUACAUCCAAAUAAGUUUUUUCAUAAGUAAUUAAUGUGCUGAAAUAAAAAAAUGUAUAUUCACAUUUUUUUGUAUUUUUUGAGAUAUUUUAAGUUCAAAAUUGGUCAAAAUUAGAUAUUUAGGCAACGAAUAACGAUUUUAGUUAUGUAUUAAAUAUUAAAUUGUAUGCACAGAAUGAUAUUUUCGAAUGGAAUUUCUUUGUCAAACAAUAAUUUAAUGUAGGUACUGCAUUACUACAACGUCUAGUUGAUAAAUAAAUAAUUGUAAUAGCAAUAAUAUCAUAAGAUAUACUUAUCAAUAAAGGCAGACUUUGGCUCAAAAUCAUAUUGGGUGUAUAAUGAUUUUAUAUCAUUAAGUUUGUGAUGCAUUCAUUAAAGUGACUGUUCUAGACACGUCUUGUCCACCUUUUUACUAAAAGUUUUUACUUUCUCAUGAACUAUGAUAUUUUAGCAAAAGUUUGGACACAAUCUGUCAAAGUGGAAAGGACAACUUCACACACAUAUAAUACGCAAUUGAAUUGAACUAUAUACUGUCAUAUUUUAAUCGCUCGUACCGUUCCAAAACCGUCGAAGACCGUUUUUCAAGCUCCAAGUGCUGAAGUCUGGCACCCAAUCAAAAUUGAUUUUCGGAGAUUUGCUUGGAUUGCAUAUUCUCAAUGUGUGACGAGAGAUUAUGACCAAUUGGUUAAUAUUUUUUUAAAUCAUCUUUGUAUCAAAAUGUUUACUUAAUGAGACAGUGAUCUUAAGUUACUGUCCAACUUUGUUUAUAUGAUUUAACUUGGUAAAAACAACAAUAAUUAAAAGUAAAAAAAUUAAAAAA